GAUGCACUUUGACUUAGUGCCUGCACAUUUUUUACCUUUGUGAAUGAUGAGCUGUCCCAAUUGUUAAUAAUAUCUGCACGCUUUGAAUGCUUCGAAGGAACAUAAGAAAAAGACUCUGCAUCACUCAAAGUCAAGACUCAACUAGGGCAAAAUACAUCUAGUCUAGGCAUCAUCUUCAUAAAGGUUUAGAAGUUUGGAUCACCAAUGAAGGACUUCAAGAAGCAUAUAUCAUCAUUCAUGGGCUUGUGAAUUAUUUGAUUGUAUACACGUUUGUAGCAUUCUUCCUUCGAGUACUUGAUAGCGAAUUGUGUCACAUUCCGAAAUCAACUCCGCC
rnacentral:lncRNA from 1 species